rnacentral:rRNA from 1 species
GCGGGCUAACCAUGCAGUCGAGCGGAACGAGAAAUAGCUUGCUAUUUCGGCGUCGAGCGGCGGACGGGUGAGUAAUGCUUGGGAAGUUGCCUUAAUGAGGGGGAUAACUAUUGGAAACGAUAGCUAAUACCGCAUAAUUCUCUUGGUCUUUUGCGAGAUUGGGAGCAAAGCAGGGGACCUUCGGGCCUUGCGCAUUAAGAUACGCCCAAGUGGGAUUAGCUAGUUGGUGAGGUAAUGGCUCACCAAGGCGACGAUCCCUAGCUGGUCUGAGAGGAUGAUCAGCCACACUGGAACUGAGACACGGUCCAAACUCCUACGGGAGGCAGCAGUGGGGAAUAUUGCACAAUGGGCGAAAGCCUGAUGCAGCCAUGCCGCGUGUAUGAAGAAGGCCUUAGGGUUGUAAAGUACUUUCAGCAGUGAGGAAGGCGUUAAGAUUAAUACUCUUGGCGUUUGACGUUAGCUGCAGAAGAAGCACCGGCUAACUCCGUGCCAGCAGCCGCGGUAAUACGGAGGGUGCGAGCGUUAAUCGGAAUUACUGGGCGUAAAGCGCAUGCAGGCGGCCUAUUAAGUCAGAUGUGAAAGCCCGGAGCUCAACUCCGGAAGGUCAUUUGAAACUGGUAGGCUAGAGUCUUGUAGAGGGGGGUAGAAUUUCAGGUGUAGCGGUGAAAUGCGUAGAGAUCUGAAGGAAUACCAGUGGCGAAGGCGGCCCCCUGGACAAAGACUGACGCUCAGAUGCGAAAGCGUGGGUAGCAAACGGGAUUAGAUACCCCGGUAGUCCACGCCGUAAACGAUGUCUACUUGAAGGUUGUGGCCUUGAGCCGUGGCUUUCGGAGCUAACGCGUUAAGUAGACCGCCUGGGGAGUACGGUCGCAAGAUUAAAACUCAAUGAAUUGACGGGGGCCCGCACAAGCGUGGAGCAUGUGGUUUAUUCGAUGCACGCGAAAACCUUACCUACUCUGACAUCUACAGAAGCCGCGAAACGCUGGUGUGCCUUCGGAAC